rnacentral:rRNA from 1 species
GUCCACGCCGUAAACGAUGUCUACUAGCCGUUGGGAGGCUUGACCUCUUAGUGGCGAAGCCAACGCGAUAAGUAGACCGCCUGGGGAGUACGGUCGCAAGAUUAAAACUCAAAUGAAUUGACGGGGGCCCGCACAAGCGGUGGAGCAUGUGGUUUAAUUCGAUGCAACGCGAAAAACCUUACCAGGCCUUGACAUCCUGAGAACUUUCUAGAGAUAGAUCGGUGCCUUCGGGAACUCAGUGAC